rnacentral:rRNA from 1 species
GAUUAACGCUAGCGGCAGGCAUAAUACAUGCAAGUUGAACGGCAGCACAGGUAGCAAUACUGGGUGGCGAGUGGCGCACGGGUGCGUAACACGUAUGCAACCUACCCUAUACAGGCGAAUAACCUUUAGAAAUGAGGGCUAAUACGCCGUAGUAUUACAGAUGGGCAUCUAUUUGUAAUUAAAGAUUUAUCGGUAUAGGAUGGGCAUGCGUCCCAUUAGUUAGUUGGUAAGGUAACGGCUUACCAAGACGAUGAUGGGUAGGGGAUCUGAGAGGACUUACCCCCACACUGGUACUGAGACACGGACCAGACUCCUACGGGAGGAAGCAGUAAGGAAUAUUGGGCAAUGGCCGCGAGGCUGACCCAGCCAUGCCGCGUGCAGGAAGACGGCCUUAUGGGUUGUAAACUGCUUUUAUACGGGAAUAAUAGAGUGUACGCGUACAUUUAUGAAAGUAUCGUAUGAAUAAGCAUCGGCUAACUCCGUG